GGUAAUGGAAGGGAAGCCUCCCAAUAGGCCCCAUUCUUGGAGUCAUGCCAUCACCUCUCAUUCUCUUCCCUGCAUCACUCUACUGUUAGGUUCUCUCCAGACUGUAGGGAAGAGAUUGUUCAUGCUGGAGUGAAAAGGAUACUGAUAUGGACAUUUUUGACAGCAGACCAAAAUCACCAAACUGACUUCAUCAUUGAAGCAGAAAUAACAGCAGCAACUCAUGGUGCAUUGUGCCCAUCCAGCCGCACCUCCCAGCACAGUCCUACCAGCAUCGCCUCUAGUUCCUGAAGCUACUGCCCAAGCUGCUGCCAGAAGAGCAGGCAGUGCACUCAGAGCUCUCCCCACCCUGCCUGCAGCACCGCUGUGCAUGUGUGUACAUGCAUGCAUGUGCGCAGCACCCCCGUUCCAGAUUAUUUUACCCCCAUCCUGGAUUUUUUAUGCCCCCUUUCUAUUAAUUUCUAUGAUUAUUGAUGAAAAUAUUUUUCUGUCAGCUUGUGAAUGUCGGAGGGUGGAAUUGAUGUUUAUUGACAAAAAAAAUCAAAUAAAUCCUGCCAAACCCACCUAUAA